UACGGGGGGGGGCAAGCGUUGUUCGGAAUUACUGGGCGUAAAGGGCUUGUAGGUGGCCAACUAAGUCAGACGUGAAAUCCCUCGGCUUAACCGGGGAACUGCGUCUGAUACUGGAUGGCUUGAGUUUGGGAGAGGGAUGCGGAAUUCCAGGUGUAGCGGUGAAAUGCGUAGAUAUCUGGAGGAACACCGGUGGCGAAGGCGGCGAUCCUGGACCAAUACUGACACUGAAAAGCGAAAGCCAGGGGAGCAAACGGG
rnacentral:rRNA from 1 species